AGAGUUUGAUCCUGGCUCAGAUUGAACGCUGGCGGCAUGCUUUACACAUGCAAGUCGGACGGCAGCACAGAGAAGCUUGCUUCUUGGGUGGCGAGUGGCGAACGGGUGAGUAAUAUAUCGGAACGUACCGAGUAAUGGGGGAUAACUAAUCGAAAGAUUAGCUAAUACCGCAUAUUCUCUGAGGAGGAAAGCAGGGGACCUUCGGGCCUUGCGUUAUUCGAGCGGCCGAUAUCUGAUUAGCUAGUUGGUGGGGUAAAGGCCUACCAAGGCGACGAUCAGUAGCGGGUCUGAGAGGAUGAUCCGCCACACUGGGACUGAGACACGGCCCAGACUCCUACGGGAGGCAGCAGUGGGGAAUUUUGGACAAUGGGCGCAAGCCUGAUCCAGCCAUGCCGCGUGUCUGAAGAAGGCCUUCGGGUUGUAAAGGACUUUUGUCAGGGAAGAAAAGGCUGUUGCUAAUAUCGACAGCUGAUGACGGUACCUGAAGAAUAAGCACCGGCUAACUACGUGCCAGCAGCCGCGGUAAUACGUAGGGUGCGAGCGUUAAUCGGAAUUACUGGGCGUAAAGCGAGCGCAGACGGUUACUUAAGCAGGAUGUGAAAUCCCCGGGCUCAACCUGGGAACUGCGUUCUGAACUGGGUGACUAGAGUGUGUCAGAGGGAGGUAGAAUUCCACGUGUAGCAGUGAAAUGCGUAGAGAUGUGGAGGAAUACCGAUGGCGAAGGCAGCCUCCUGGGAUAACACUGACGUUCAUGCUCGAAAGCGUGGGUAGCAAACAGGAUUAGAUACCCUGGUAGUCCACGCCCUAAACGA
rnacentral:rRNA from 1 species